GCCAAUUCUAGUACAUCCAUGGGUAGGUUCAUAAUUAAUUAUUUCUCUAAAUAACUUCUAGCAAUUAAGUUUUGCCCUAGAUCUCUCUUCAGCAAACGUGUGGCACCUCUACUAAAAAUUCUGAUUAGGUCCAACCAUUAAUAUGACUAUGCCAAGAACAUCCAACAAACGAAUGUUCAGACCCAAGUAUGGCUCAUCCAACCUGAGCAUUGAUCUGAAGGGCACAACAAGAUGGUCAUAUGAUGAAUGACAGUUCUAAUACCCAAUAGACACCAGGCGUGUGGCACCUCCAAUGCC
rnacentral:lncRNA from 1 species